GAUGAACGCUGGCGGCGUGCCUAAUACAUGCAAGUCGAGCGAACAGACGAGGAGCUUGCUCCUCUGACGUUAGCGGCGGACGGGUGAGUACACGUGGAUAACCUACCUAUAAGACUGGGAUAACCUCGGGAAACCGGAGCUAAUACCGGAUAAUAUAUUGAACCGCCUGGUUCAAUAGUGAAAGACGGUUUUGCUGUUACCUAUAGAUGGAUCCGCGCCGCAUUAGCUAGUUGGUAAGGUAACGGCUUACCAAGGCAACGAUGCGUAGCCGACCUGAGAGGGUGAUCGGCCACACUGGAACUGAGACACGGUCCAGACUCCUACGGGAGGCAGCAGUAGGGAAUCUUCCGCAAUGGGCGAAAGCCUGACGGAGCAACGCCGCGUGAGUGAUGAAGGUCUUCGGAUCGUAAAACUCUGUUAUUAGGGAAGAACAAAUGUGUAAGUAACUAUGCACGUCUUGACGGUACCUAAUCAGAAAGCCACGGCUAACUACGUG
rnacentral:rRNA from 1 species